AGAAUUUUUAAAAUAAUUUCCUAUAAAUAUGAAGAAACUGAAACAUGUUGAUUAUAUACGCAAGAAUACUAUCUCACAGUCUGAAGCCAUAAUAUUAAUAAUUAUACACACAAGAUGAGCAAUAAUCCAAACCCGGAUUAUGUUCUAAAUCGAAGAAAAAGAAAAAGCUGUUUAACAUCCAACGAUUGGGUGAUAACGAAAGGCGGAGAAAGAAAGUAUCUUCAAUAUCUAAAGACUGGUGAAGAAGUUCAGGAAGUAAUGCCAGAUGGAACGUUGGGAUAUACUAAAGUAUACUGUUUUUCUCAUAAAGAUCCUCACCAGUCUAGCCCGAACUACCUAGAGAUAAUAACGGGUACACGCAGCAUAACACUAACUAAUAACCACCAUCUGGUAUUGUCUGAUGACGAAUCGAAUUCUUCAAGAACUUAUAAAAUGGCUAAAGAAGUCAAGAUAGGGGAUCGCCUGGUUUGCCAUGAUGGUCAACAUACAACUGCCGAACAGAUCACAGACAUCAAAGAGGUAGAAGGAAAAGGUGCGUUUGCUCCCAUAACAAAAUCUGGUGAGCUCCUGGUGAAUGGGAUUCAAGUGUCUUGCUAUUCCAGCGCGGAUCCAAACCUGGUCCAUGCCGCCCUGACACUAUUUCGGUUGACCUAUGACGUUACACCAACAUCUAUUUUCGAUACUUUAUUAUGGCCCAAUGAAAAUGGAAAUCCAUAUAUUUUUGGAGCAACAGUUAAAUUAUAUAAUCUGUUUACCUCUAAAGAAUAAAUAAAUUCCCAUUAAAUGCGUAUUUUUUUAUUUCUUUUUAUUUAUUUUUUUUACUCUUACAUAUAUUAUAACGUAUUCUACUAAUAAAGUAAGUGAUCUCUUUGGUUUUAGAUAAUAAGAAACGUUGUAUUGAAAUGUAUAGGCCUAUUAUCUAUUCAGUAGUAAUAUCAAAGAUCAAUUUGUUCAUAUAUUUCAAUAUGUCCGCAGUUUAAUGUGGUCAUCUAUUGCCGUUACCCAUUUAGUACCUAUCUGAUGUAAUUACCCAAGUUGUUAUAAUUUUAAGAUGGUUGCCAAACUUCUUUGGCCAGCAUAAUAACUACUGUAUUCAUUUGUUCAUCCAAUAUUCGAAAUCCUGUAAAUCUUGUCUGCCCGUAAACCCUUCUGGAUAGUCAAACGAAAGAACCAUUCUGUCCCUUUUUUAAAAACUUUUAUGAGUGUUAUUUUGAUUCGAUUUUAACAUACCAUCGUUGAUAAUGGAGAUCCUUGUAGUAAUGGGUUGCCUCUAUUUAUUUCCCUUGACAUUCUAUCCAACUUUAUGCAAUCACUCCAUUAUUUUUUCAAACCUUCUAUAGGCUUCUUUAACGACUCACGUGAACACUUUCGAAAUUCAGUGCCAUGCGUCAAUUAUUCGCGGAGUUAUUGUCACUGCACUUGAAAGUAUUGUAAUUGUUCCAACAUGUUUGACUAGUCAUAAGGGUGAACUCUAACAAAAUUAAGAGCCCCACACCAGUCAGUGCCAUAUAAACAUUGUGCGCUUGUGUUGGCAUAUAUUUCGUUGCCUGCCAAUCUAUUUUUACAGACGGACUGAAAGAUUUAGCUAUUAGUGUCAGUAUCUGGAAUCAGAAACAUCUAUAUAUUAUAAAUUCCAAUAUUCAUAAUUGUGUGAUUUCAUUUAAAUUAAAGAAAAGCUUUAUUCCAAUAAAUAUUAUUCUGUGUAUUUGAUUUUCAUUUAUUUCAAUAAUUAUAAUUGUGUUCAAUUGAUUUCAUUUAUAUUAAAAGAAAAGCUUUAUUCCAAUAAUAAUAAUAAUAAUAAUAAUAAUUCUGUACAUUUGAUUUCCAUUGAUAAAAAAUCAUUUUAAUUCAUCUAAUUAAAUAUGCAUCAUUAUUGAAUUAUAAAUUAGCCUGUUGUCAAAUAUAUACAUUUGUGCUACAAUAAUUUGUUUGUAUUAUAUACAUCUGCUAAAGUUAAUUUGUAUUGGAUCAUAUUAAUAAAAUACUCUUCUCAUUA